rnacentral:rRNA from 1 species
AGAAGGAGAGGGAGCAGGGGCGGUGGUGGCCGUUGGAGCCACGGGGAGAGGGAUUGGCGGUGACGGGGGUGGGAGAGGGGGUAGGGGGCGAGAGUGGAAGACAGGAAUUUGAUCCGCCGGGGGUCUUGCUCUUCCAACUCCGCGAAGGGCUAAACACCGCCGACGAAGGCUUAGACGGCUCGUCGCGUUCUCCAGCCGAGGAAGAGGCGCAACAAGACGCGGUUCCACUCCGUGAGUUAUGGCACCGGCCUACCUCCAACCCACUAAAGGAAGGGACUGGAGCGGCGGAUCGGUGAGGUGGCGCUCGAAGAGCGGGGGUCCAACAAGAAGGGGACGAGUGAGGGAGGGAGAAGGAGAGGUACCUAACCAACGACGACGUACGAAGACGAGUUCAUGGUCAGUAGAGAACGCAACCACGAAGACGACACACCUAAACAACUAUAACAACUAUAACGAAUCGAUCACACCUACUGAUCUACACCCACGCACUGACACGAUUGUAUAAUCUUAUAAAAGUUUAUUUUUAUUGUUAAUCACGAAUUCAUUAUUAAAUACCCAACUCAAGACGCGUAUCAAUUUACAUCGUCGUCGUAUGUCAAAAGUGUCACGCCACGUGUGACGGCUCGUACGUAAAAACAUACAUCUUUAGAGUUUAGAAACAUUGUGUUGUGAACGACCGUAACCCAUUUACUGAACGGAAGGUAAUUGAUAACAGAAAGUAAAAUAUUUUUCUUUUUUCUAAUAGAGAACGCACGUUUACAUGAGACACUCAAUUAUUAUGUAGGUGCACAUACACAUCAAGUAACCCGGACAUCGAGUGAUCAAACACAAAGGGGACAUUACAAAUGGAGACGAUAGUACUACUUAAACCGAAACAUCAGGCCAGGAACUGUAUAUCAAGAACAAACUUCUUAAUCAUAAAAUUUUAAAAUCACGGGUGCAUUGUAGUCAUGGAACCUUAUAUGACGAACAACCUUCCUAAUUGUAAAAUAUAGGACUUGUAAAUAAUAACGUCGACGAGAAAUCGAUGUAUCGAUGUAUUAUUGUUUAGACUGAACUUGAAAUAUACAAAUAUAAUGUACCGUUCAACUAACACAUCGGAUACAUGUCUCUUCGAUUCCACAUCUAUUCAAGUCUUUCCACAGAGCAAACCGAUCUCACACUACUUCAUCACACCUUAACGAGACAUGGAAAAUAUGUAAACACGCACCUUAGACAAUAAUUAGACAUGUUGUAGUCGUGAUCAUUAAAUUACCAUAGCUAAGUCAUAGAAUUGAUGACCCGGUGGUCAGUCGGUACUUAGAAACAGACAUGUUGUAGUUAUCACUUUGAAAAUAUAAUAACGUCAUAGAGCUGUUGUAUUCAUGAUGGUUCGUACAUAUAAAAAGACAUCUUUGCUGAAGAAGGUAAUUGAUAUCAGGACGUAAAAAGAUCUUUUUAUCAGACUAGAGAACGUACGUUUACAAGAGACGCUAUGAUUAUGUAGGUACACAUACCCAUGAUGACCCCGGACAUCGAGUGAUCAAACACCAAGGGACGUUAAUAAAUGGAGACGAUAGUACGACCAAAGCCGAAACAUCAUUCCAGGAGCUGUAUGAAGAGCAAGUUUCUUAAUCGUGAAAUUUUAAAAUCAAACGGAUGUAUUGUAGUCAUGGAACCUUAUAUCAAGGACAACCUUGCUAAUUGUAAAACAUAAGACGUGUAAACAAUAACGUCGACGAGAAAUCGACAUAUUGUAGUUUAGACCUGAACUUGAUAUUUAUAAAUCUAAUAUACUGUUCAAUUAACACGAUGAAAAAUAAGCGGCCACAAUCAAUGAUACUUCAUCGACUGACCUCGGUUGCUACCUACGAAUCGGAGAUCAAUAUUCCUAAGGGACGACGACGAAAACGAUGGAGAAGACAAGGGACUUACUUACCAGGACGACGAAAGAGUGUACGCCAAAGACAAAGAGAAAAAGAACCUAUCACAAGAAGAGAGAAUCUUAGUAUCAGACCAGUCCGACGAACACGACAGUUUAAACUUGAUGAAUAAUCCCAACUAAAGAUACGGUGAUUACGGAUGACGGAAGAGGUGCGUAGAUCGCCUCAUGUUCUGCAGGAGGAGGAGCUACGUCGGUAAGGGUUGCUCGAGAGAAACGGCCUUCUCCACGUCUUCGUUCAGGUCGUGGGGGAAGCGGGGACGUAGGACAGGAUGUAGCGGACCUGCUCGAGUGACUACCAACGUAGGAAUGGAGGAUCGCACUACACCUGAAAUUAAUACGAGGACAACAAAAGAUCAGUUUAUUCGUGUCACCUCAAAUGAUGGUUGAGAACUAGAUAACACUGUAUAAAAAGUAGUACACCGUAUAUAACCAAAUACCCUCGUAAAAGUUGUUGUUUCUAUACUGCUCGCCUAGGUGCCGGUCCUUACGCCCCAGGGAACCAACAUGCUGCUCGUAACACGCAACGAACUACCCACACCACGACCGACAUCUCAUCGUAUCACAAGAGAUUCCGUACGGACACCUUAAUUAGAAAAAACCCAAGAAAAAAACGAGGACAUGUCCACAUAGAACCGACACAAAUACAGUAAAAAAACAAAAAUUCCUAGACUCGUAUAUAAAAGACAAUUUAAUAAUAACCGAAGUUUAAAGGUACCUGGUUCUCUUUAGAUACUACCCGAUUACAGUACCUGACUCUUUAAUCACCCGGAAAGAACUUUAAUUACCUGG